rnacentral:tRNA from 1 species
GAUGCUGCGCCGGACGAACGGAUAACUUUGAUGACGUUAAAUAUGAGGUUUCACCUCCAGCAUCU